CCUACGGGUGGCAGCAGUGAGGAAUAUUGGUCAAUGGGCGCGAGCCUGAACCAGCCAAGUCGCGUGAGGGAAGAAGGUACUAUGGAUUGUAAACCUCUUUUGUCGGGGAGCAAAAGCCGCCACGCGUGGCGUUCCGAGAGUACCCGAAGAAAAAGCAUCGGCUAACUCCGUGCCAGCAGCCGCGGUAAUACGGAGGAUGCGAGCGUUAUCCGGAUUUAUUGGGUUUAAAGGGUGCGCAGGCGGACGAUCAAGUCAGCGGUAAGAGUGAGAGGCUCAACCUCUUCGAGCCGUUGAAACUGGUUUGCUUGAGUGAGUGAGAAGUAUGCGGAAUGCGUGGUGUAGCGGUGAAAUGCAUAGAUAUCACGCAGAACUCCGAUUGCGAAGGCAGCAUACCGGCGCUCAACUGACGCUCAUGCACGAAAGUGUGGGUAUCGAACAGGAUUAGAUACCCGAGUAGUC
rnacentral:rRNA from 1 species